rnacentral:rRNA from 1 species
CCUACGGGUGGCAGCAGUCGAGAAUCAUUCACAAUGGGCGAAACCCUGAUGGUGCGACGCCGCGUGGGGGAAUGAAGGUCUUCGGAUUGUAAACCCCUGUCAUGUGGGAGCAAAUUAAAAAGAUAGUACCACAAGAGGAAGAGACGGCUAACUCUGUGCCAGCAGCCGCGGUACUACAGAGGUCUCAAGCGUUGUUCGGAAUCACUGGGCGUAAAGCGGUCGUAGGCUGUUUCGUAAGUCGUGUGUGAAAGGCGCGGGCUCAACCCGCGAACGGCACAUGAGACUGGGAGACUAGAGUAAUGGAGGGGGAACUGGAAUUCUAGGUGUAGCAGUGAAAUGCGUAGAUAUCGGGAGGAACACUCGGGGCGAAGGCGGGUUCCUGGACAUUAACUGACGCUGAGGCACGAAGGCCAGGGGAGCGAAAGGGAUUAGAUACCCUUGUAGUC